rnacentral:tRNA from 1 species
GUCAGGAUGGCCGAGUGGUCUAAGGCGCCAGACUCAAGGCCCUGCCUUCCUGCACUUGGGUAUUCUGGUCUCCGAAUGGAGGCGUGGGUUCAAAUCCCACUCCUGACA